GACGGAGGAUGCGAGUGUUAUCCGGAAUCACUGGGCGUAAAGCGUCUGUAGGUGGUUUAAAAAGUCUGCUGUUAAAGGUUGAAGCUUAACUUCAAAAAUGCAGUAGAAACUUUUAAACUUGAGUAUGGUAGGGGCAUGCGGAACUGAUGGUGGAGCGGUGAAAUGUGUUGAUAUCAUCAGGAACUCCGGUGGCGAAGGCGGCAUGCUGGACCUUCACUGACGCUGAGGCGCGAAAGCUAGGGGAGCGAACGGG
rnacentral:rRNA from 1 species